AAAAUAAAACAAAAUGUGAAAAUGACGUAGAACUACUUUUAUAAGAAACAUUAAACCUAUUAGACGGAUACAUGGGUAAAGAGCUAAGUUUGGUUUUAACAUUAUAGUAUGGGUUAAAACACUCCAAAUGUUUUAAACACUAAAAUAAGAGAUAUGCUUAUUUUUUAUGAUUAAUUUUAUUUACUUAAGUUGUAAUGUAUUGAUAUUUGAAUUGUUUAAAUCUAAAAUUAUAAAAUAUAAUGUAUUGAUAUCAUAAUAUGUUGUAUUAAAAAAAUGAAUAUGAAAAAAUGAAAUGAAGAAAAUGACAGUUUAUAUAGACAAAGAUGGGAUAAAGUUAUGAAAACAAAAUAAAAUGUGAAAAUGACGUAGAACUACUUUCAUUAGAAACGUGAAACCUAUUAGAUGGAUACAUGGGUAGAGAGGUAAGUUUGCUUUGA
rnacentral:lncRNA from 1 species